rnacentral:tRNA from 1 species
ACAUCAAUGGCUCAAGGGUAGAUUACUCGCCAGCCACGCAAGUGGUCCAGGUUCAAUUCCUGGUUGAUGCA